rnacentral:tRNA from 1 species
GUCUCCGUAGCUCAGUGGAUAGAGCAUUGGUUUCCGGUACCAAAGGUCGCAGGUUCGAAUCCUGUCGGGGGACA